AUGCAAGUCGAGCGGAACGAGUUAUCUGACCCUUCGGGUGACGAUAACGGCGUCGAGCGGCGGACGGGUGAGUAAUGCCUGGGAAAUUGCCCUGAUGUGGGGGAUAACCAUUGGAAACGAUGGCUAAUACCGCAUAAUAGCUUCGGCUCAAAGAGGGGGACCUUCGGGCCUCUCGCGUCAGGAUAUGCCCAGGUGGGAUUAGCUAGUUGGUGAGGUAAGGGCUCACCAAGGCGACGAUCCCUAGCUGGUCUGAGAGGAUGAUCAGCCACACUGGAACUGAGACACGGUCCAGACUCCUACGGGAGGCAGCAGUGGGGAAUAUUGCACAAUGGGCGCAAGCCUGAUGCAGCCAUGCCGCGUGUAUGAAGAAGGCCUUCGGGUUGUAAAGUACUUUCAGCAGUGAGGAAGGUGGUAGUGUUAAUAGCACUAUUAUUUGACGUUAGCUGCAGAAGAAGCACCGGCUAACUCCGUGCCAGCAGCCGCGGUAAUACGGAGGGUGCGAGCGUUAAUCGGAAUUACUGGGCGUAAAGCGCAUGCAGGUGGAUGAUUAAGUCAGAUGUGAAAGCCCGGGGCUCAACCUCGGAAUAGCAUUUGAAACUGGUCAUCUAGAGUACUGUAGAGGGGGGUAGAAUUUCAGGUGUAGCGGUGAAAUGCGUAGAGAUCUGAAGGAAUACCGGUGGCGAAGGCGGCCCCCUGGACAGAUACUGACACUCAGAUGCGAAAGCGUGGGGAGCAAACAGGAUUAGAUACCCUGGUAGUCCACGCCGUAAACGAUGUCUACUUGGAGGUUGUGGCCUUGAGCCGUGGCUUUCGGAGCUAACGCGUUAAGUAGACCGCCUGGGGAGUACGGUCGCAAGAUUAAAACUCAAAUGAAUUGACGGGGGCCCGCACAAGCGGUGGAGCAUGUGGUUUAAUUCGAUGCAACGCGAAGAACCUUACCUACUCUUGACAUCCAUAGAACUUUCCAGAGAUGGAUUGGUGCCUUCGGGAACUAUGAGACA
rnacentral:rRNA from 2 species